rnacentral:rRNA from 1 species
UGGGGAAUAUUGCACAAUGGGCGAAAGCCUGAUGCAGCGACGCCGCGUGAGGGAUGACGGCCUUCGGGUUGUAAACCUCUUUCAGCAGGGAAGAAGCGAAAGUGACGGUACCUGCAGAAGAAGCGCCGACUAACUACGUGCCAGCAGCCGCGGUAAUACGUAGGGCGCAAGCGUUGUCCGGAAUUAUUGGGCGUAAAGAGCUCGUAGGCGGUUAGUCACGUCUGCUGUGAAAACUCGAGGCUCAACCUCGGGCUUGCAGUGGGUACGGGCUGACUAGAGUGCGGUAGGGGUGACUGGAAUUCCUGGUGUAGCGGUGGAAUGCGCAGAUAUCAGGAGGAACACCGAUGGCGAAGGCAGGUCACUGGGCCGCAACUGACGCUGAGGAGCGAAAGCAUGGGGAGCGAACAGGAUUAGAUAGCCCUGGUAGUCCAUGCCGUAAACGUUGGGCACUAGGUGUGGGGUCCAUUCCACGGAUUCCGUGCCGCAGCAAAGCGCAUUAAGUGCCCCGCCUGGGGAGUACGGCCGCAAGGCUAAAACUCAAAGGAAUUG